AUUGAACGCUUGCGGCAUGCUUUACACAUGCAAGUCGAACGGCAGCGCGGGCUUCGGCCUGGCGGCGAGUGGCGAACGGGUGAGUAAUGCAUCGGAACGUGCCCAGUAGUGGGGGAUAGCCCGGCGAAAGCCGGAUUAAUACCUCAUACGACCUGAGGGUGAAAGCGGGGGACCGAAAGGCCUCGCGCUAUUGGAGCGGCCGAUGUCGGAUUAGCUAGUUGGUGGGGUAAAGGCUUACCAAGGCGACGAUCCGUAGCUGGUCUGAGAGGACGACCAGCCACACUGGGACUGAGACACGGCCCAGACUCCUACGGGAGGCAGCAGUGGGGAAUUUUGGACAAUGGGGGCAACCCUGAUCGAGCCAUGCCGCGUGCGGGAAGAAGGCCUUCGGGUUGUAAAACGCUUUUGUUAGGGAAGAAAUCCUGUGGGCUAAUACCACGGGGGGAUGACGGUACCGGAAGAAUAAGCACCGGCUAACUACGUG
rnacentral:rRNA from 1 species